AUUGCAAAUGAUGAUAAAAAGACAGGGACAUCAGAACUUCUCUUUUGAAGUAAUAUAAUGAUUGACCAAGUCUAUAAUGGGAAUCUCUUUGAUGCAAU